UUGGAGGGCAAGUCUGGUGCCAGCAGCCGCGGUAAUUCCAGCUCCAAUAGCGUAUAUUAAAGUUGUUGCAGUUAAAAAGCCCGUAGUUGAAUUUCGGGGUUAGUAGGUUGGUCAUGCCUCUGGUAUGUACUGGUCUCACUGAUUCCUCCUUCCUGAUGAGCCGUAAUGCCAUUAAUUUGGUGUUGCGGGGAAUUUGGACUGUUACUUUGAAAAAAUUAGAGUGUUUAAAGCAAGCUAACGCUUGAAUACAUUAGCAUGGAAUAAUGAAAUAGGACGUUCGAUCCUAUUUUGUUGGUUUCUAGGAUUGACGUAAUGAUUAAUAGGGAUAGUUGGGGGCAUUAGUAUUCAAUUGUCAGAGGUGAAAUUCUUGGAUUUAUUGAAGACUAACUACUGCGAAAGCAUUUGCCAAGGAUGUUUUCAUUAAUCAAGAACGAAAGUUAGGGGAUCGAAGACGAUCAGAUACCGUCGUAGCCUUAACCAUAAACUAUGCCGACUAGGGAUCGGAUGAUGUUAAUUUUUUAAUGACUCAUUCGGCGCCUUACGGGAAACCAAAGUGUUUGGGUUC
rnacentral:rRNA from 1 species